CAGCUGCUUUUCUAGGUCCAUUAAGCACUGUGUUCUGGGACUGAGAGUGAGAAGCCCUUUUCCUUGGUUUCCUACUUGAAGCAGUGUUUGUUUUCCUCCUCAGCUGAUUUUGGCCUCUGUGCUGUGCUCAGCCCUGGGCACAGGAAACGGAGGUCGAUGGUCGGGACCACUUACUGGAUGGCACCCGAGGUGGUGAGAAGAGAGCCUUACGGCCCCAAAGUGGACACCUGGUCCCUUGGCAUUGUGGGAAUAGAAAUGGCCACAGGAGAGGCUCCUUAUAUGCAGGAGACCAGUGUCAAGGCCAGCUACCUGAUAGGCAAGCAAGGGGUUCCAAAUCUGCACCAGCUCAGGCUACCCCCUGGCUUGUGUGAAUUUCUGGGCUGCUGCCUGCAGAUGGAUGUGGACAGGCGAGGCUCUGCCAAGGAACUUCUGCAGCAUCCAUUUCUGCAAUCAGCGGAGCCUCUCUUAAGGCUCUUCUGACAGCCUGAUUGCUGCCAUCCCUGCAGCAAGGGAAUGCAAGAAGCAAAGGAGAUGACAAGGUGUGAGAGUCUGUCCGAAACUUCCCUCAUUUUUUGCCUCUCGAUCGUCAUGAAAGCCAAGACCACCGGGGAAAGGGAAAGAUCCUGUUCUGAAAAUCCAGGUCUGUCUGGUCCACCAAGCCAGAUUAUUGGCUACGGGUGUGUUUGCUCAACUCAUGGAACACUGCACCCAAGAAGGGGCAGUGUGCUCUCCUUCGCCUGCAUCACCUAGCAACGCUAGUGCUGGAAUUUCUCCACCCUUCUGACUUGGCUGGACUUUCUCUCUGGAAUGACCUUUCUGGAGGUCACCACAAAAGGACCCUCCACUCACCGUACAUCAACCACCGUGACAGAUGGACUGAGAUGGGAGAAGGUUCUCCCCUCAAGGACUGAGACGUGCAACCCCUACAUGGAAAAGCUCGUCUCUUUUCCCAAAAGGACUGAGACUGAAAUCCCCACCAUAGGGUGAGGGAAGGUAUGCGUGGGGACCGGAGCAAGUUUUGCAAGCGACCACUGGACCGAGAAGACAAUGGUUCCUGCCUACGACAUCUGCUGCUGACGACGCCUGCUCCUGAUGGACUACUGAUGGACUCCUUGUACCCUUUAUCAAUAGACUAUUUUGAAAUGGGUCCCCUUCCCCCAUUUCAAAAGGACUAUAAAAAAGGUUAGACCUGACUGAUACCUUUGAGAUCUCCCCUGACGUGAAGACGACAGGCCUCUUCGUCGACCGGACUUCGAGGGACUUUGUCAUCUGCACGUCUGGUAGCUAUAUACCUCCUUGCCCUCCCUCUCUUCUUUUUCUUUUCCUUACUCUUUUCCCUUUCUUCAUUCCCCUUCUCUCUAACACAUCUUUGCUAUGGCUAUUUAAUAAAAGUACAUGUAUUUUGAUUUUACUGCAAA